AAAGACAUAUCAUCCAGACUCCUCUGCAAAGGCAGGUGUUUUUCUACAUUACUCUAGGGAAACUCUUGUCAAUUUCACACAAAAGCAGGCUUCAUUAUUCUGUAGUCACUCAUCCAUUUAAUUCACUCAUUAACCAAAUAUUCAUCAACCUCACAGUCUACCCUGUGUAAGGUGCUUGCUAAGUUCAGAAGGCUUUCUGGGAUUUAUAACUUGGCCCCCAAGGUGCUCAUGGGCCUUAGUAGCAAUACAUGUGGUCCAGCUUGCCUGUGAAGUAAUUGUUUAUUCUCAAUCUGCUUAACGUUCAUUGUAAUUAAACCCCCUUUCCUGUGGCUGAUUGUCAAAGGUGAUGUAGCCGGUCAAGGCAGUCACCUGCUCUAAGUCUGUGACAAGCCAUGGCCAGCAGUCUCUUCUAAAAGUUUAUUGGAAGAGAAAAGUGUUGUAUGCCCAAGUGUAUAUGAAUGGAGAGACUGGAGAUUAUUGUCAGAGAAGAGAGGAGUUUUUCUUCUGUGUCCUACAAGUGAAGAUGGGAGAAGGAUGCAGUGAUGCCUGGGAAUCUUGAGGAGUAGAAGGGAAGCAUGUGUUAGCUAACUGCUUUUGCUUAUGUAGUAUAUAUUUUGAACUUCAUUGCUAAUGAAUAGGGAAAUGCUUCAGAGCAACAGCAAAACAUGGAAUGAAGGCAUGCCAAAAGGAAAAACUUUUAACAUAGUGACUAAUUCUUUUAAAAUGAUUUAGCUCACAGACUUCACAGGUAGUGGAAAUAGUGUGGUAAUGUACAACAUAGCAGAAUAAGUCACCUCAGUUUUCUUAUUCAGAAGGGGUAAAUAGGCAGGGACCAAAAAUCUGAUUAAUAUUCUAUCAAUGCUUUAAUGCAAGGACAUUUCAAUGGCCACAUUUAAAAGAUUUUUCUUUGUGCUUUACAUCUAGGCCAAUUAAUCUAUGCUAAUAUAAAACAAAAAUUAUUUUGUUUUAUAAAUACAUCAGUCUAAUGGACAGUUGAAACACAUCCCACCUCCCCAUUCACUUUUUUAUUCCUAGAGAUUUAAAUCAAUGAACUGAAUUUUUAUUUUUACAAGACAUGUUGGCUAUAAAUAUAUCACAAAUCAUAAUUAUAAACAUAUCAUACUAUGAAGAAGUAGAAAAUCUCUGAUAUAGAGGCAUCAUUUUCUAAAUAUAUUCUUGCCAUUUUACGUUGAAGAAUGAAGAUAAAUAGGAAUGUGACUAGAAAUCAUAAAAAUACCAAACUGCUAUUUCCCAGAAGUGACAAAAAUAUGAACGA
rnacentral:lncRNA from 10 species